GAUGGGACAUUUCACAGUGCCUAAAGAGCCAACUCAUUAUCAAGAUGUAAUGAUUAUAAAUAAACAUGCAUACCAAAUACAUAAAGCAAAAACUGAAAGAAAUAGAAGGAGAAAUAGACAAUGCAAUAAUACUGUCUUACUUCAAUAAUUGUAAACAUACCUAGGAAAAUAUCAAAAAGGAGAUAAAAAUCAGCACUUUACCUACACUUGUGAUAGGCUUGUAUAGAAUUCUCUUAAACAGCCCCAGUAACAACAAAGUACAGAAUAUUUUGGAACAACAACAAAGUACAUCUAUUUGGAACAUUAAAAUAGGCCAUUUUCCACACCUUAAAAACCUCAAAAGUUAAAGGAGUUUAAAACAUUAAGAAGUGUGUUCUCUGAGUACAGGGUAAUAAAUUUAGAAAUCAAUAGCAAAUAGAAAUGUGUAGUCCUUACAGAUGCAAAUUCAAGAACAUAUCCCCAAAUUGAAAAAGAAAAUGUGUCAAAGAAGAACCAGAAAAUAAUUUAAUGAGAGAAUAUGAACAUAAGACUUGUUUAAACCUUUGAGGCGUUGCUAAGGGCGUGCUUAAUGGCACAUGUAUAGCUGUAAUUGCCCAAGUUUAAGAGAAAAAUUAAAGCACCAUAGUCAGUAAUUCAAUUCUCCACAUUUAGCCGUUGCAGAAAGAAGAGCAGACUAACUCAAAGCAAAGAGAAGAGAGGUAAAUAAUAAAUACCAGAAGACAAUUUCAACAGAGACCAUGCAAACAAUCGGGAGAUAUCAAUGAAAGCCAAAGUGGCCUUUGAAAAGAAAAACUAAUAAUAAGCUUUUAACUAAACCAACCGUUUUUUUCUUUUCUUUUAAAGAGUAAAUGUAAAACCAGUAGCGGUAUAGAGAGCAUGACUUCUGAAUUAAAAUAAAUCACAAGGAAUUCUGUGAAGAACUAAGUAAGAACAUAUAGUUUACUGGGUGUUAAGGUAACCUAAAUGCCCAGCCAAGGAUAGUGGUCAUGGCUAUAAUUCCAACACUCAGGAAGCUGGGGCAGCAGAAUUGUAAGGGUGAGGUUACCCAGGCAGCAACGAAUUCCUAGAAUAAUACAGAGUACUUAAAUUGCCUCAAGAAGAAACACUUUCUGUUACUACUGUUGGUGAAGAGUUCAAGGAAGUGGAGGCAUACUUGAAGAAAGCUCAAGGUCCAGGGUCUUCAUGAGUGCAUGUAAACUAAACAUUUACAGAAGACUUGAUACCAAUUUUUUCUUAAAAUCGUCCAAAAAUAGAAAACACUUCCCAACUUGACCUUUGAGGCCACUCUUAUCUUAGUAUUUAAACCAGACAAAAACAUCACAAGAAAACAUGAACUAACAUCUCCUAUGAAUAAAAUACAAAAUUACUCAACAAAAUACUACCAAACAAUUGAGGAAUAAGUAAGAAGGGUUAUAUAGCAUGACUAAGCAGGGUUAGUUCUAGGAAUAAAAGACAGUCUUAAAAGCCUCCACUCAGUUUACCGCGUCAGUAGAAAAAAAGAUCGUAUGGUCUUCUCAGCAAACACAGGAAAAGCAUUGGCUGAAACUCAGUGUUCAUUUAUCAUGGUAAACAUUUACUAAAACAGGCAAAGAAGUGGGCUUUUGGAUGGGAUCAAAGUAUGUAUGAAAACAAAGCAAAGCACAGGGAACAUGGUUUUAGUGAUGGAAGAUCAAGCGUUGCUCUCCUGAAAUCAAACGUGGAAUGAAUAUCAGUGUUUACACUAAAGCCUGUAGCUUGCAAAGUAAAAAGACAACUUUAAGAUGACAUGAUCAUAUAAAGCCCUAAGGAAUCCAUUAAAAUAUUAGGUUCAAUAAAGAAGUUAAGCAGGAUAUAAAGCACCAUACAACUAAGUUUUGAUAUUCUUUUUUAAAGAUUUAUAUAUUUAUUUUAUUUGAGCGAGUACACUCUUGUUCUCUUCAGUCAUACCAGAAGAGGUCAUCAGAUCUCAUUACAGAUAGUUGUGAGUCACUGCGUAGUUGGUGGAAAUUGAACUCAGGACCUUUGGAGAGCAGCAGGUUAAGUGCCCUUAACCUCUGAGCCAUCUCUCCAGCCCUGAAGUUUUGAUAUUCUUACAUUUCCAAUUAGUUUAGAAUAAAUACAGUAAAGCAUUUGGCAACAAAGAAGUAUACAACUUUACACAGUGUUCCAAGAAUGAAAGUGAUCUAUGUAAAUGAAAAGACACGACAUCUUCAAGGAACAUGAGGAGCAACAAGAUUCCUAAAUCAAUUAUCAGACUUAGUAUUCAGCUCUUUUCACAACUUCAGGUCAUUUCUUUAUAGAAUUAACAAGGUGAUCCCAAAAUUCAGGUGGAAACUUAGGGAGCUAAGGAGAACUAUAAUUUUUUUUAAAAAGAACCAGAAUAGAAACCUCACUUCUUGAAUUCAAAAUAAUAUUGUAAGCCAGGUCUACACCUGUCCACCUGCUGCUCGAGAGGCAAAGGAAGGAGGCAUGCUUGAUUCUAGAAGUUGACGGCCAGCCUGGGCAGUACUGUGACUUUAAGCCAAAACAAAACAACAACAAUGAAAAGUCAGCAGCAUUACUCCGAUUGUAAAAAUAGGACUCCAGUGUAAGGAUAGACCUGUGACUGAUGUGGUCCUGGAGUGCAGAGAUCCUUAUGUUACAGCCCACUGGAUUUUCAGCAGAGGGACAGUGAAGAACAGGUGUUCACCUAAUGGUGCUGGGACCACCGGAUCGCUGUAUGAUACAGUAUGAAAUUGACCCAAGCCUCACAACAUAAACAAAAGUUAACGC
rnacentral:lncRNA from 1 species